AUACAUGCAAGUCGAACGCACAGCGAAAGGUGCUUGCACCUUUCAAGUGAGUGGCGAACGGGUGAGUAACACGUGGACAACCUGCCUCAAGGCUGGGGAUAACAUUUGGAAACAGAUGCUAAUACCGAAUAAAACUUAGUGUCGCAUGACAAAAAGUUAAAAGGCGCUUCGGCGUCACCUAGAGAUGGAUCCGCGGUGCAUUAGUUAGUUGGUGGGGUAAAGGCCUACCAAGACAAUGAUGCAUAGCCGAGUUGAGAGACUGAUCGGCCACAUUGGGACUGAGACACGGCCCAAACUCCUACGGGAGGCUGCAGUAGGGAAUCUUCCACAAUGGGCGAAAGCCUGAUGGAGCAACGCCGCGUGUGUGAUGAAGGCUUUCGGGUCGUAAAGCACUGUUGUAUGGGAAGAACAGCUAGAAUAGGAAAUGAUUUUAGUUUGACGGUACCAUACCAGAAAGGGACGGCUAAAUACGUGCCAGCAGCCGCGGUAAUACGUAUGUCCCGAGCGUUAUCCGGAUUUAUUGGGCGUAAAGCGAGCGCAGACGGUUUAUUAAGUCUGAUGUGAAAGCCCGGAGCUCAACUCCGGAAUGGCAUUGGAAACUGGUUAACUUGAGUGCAGUAGAGGUAAGUGGAACUCCAUGUGUAGCGGUGGAAUGCGUAGAUAUAUGGAAGAACACCAGUGGCGAAGGCGGCUUACUGGACUGCAACUGACGUGA
rnacentral:rRNA from 1 species